GCCCCUUCUGUUCUCAAGCACCCCUCACUUGCAGAGCCCACAGGCCUGUAAACCUGCCUCAUCAUCACUAGAGACAAGAUCUCUCUACUGGAGCUCUCACACGCUCUCCUUCCAGACUGGACUCUGGACAAAUCCCUUUUCUCCCAGGUGGAGUCAGGAGGAGGCUAAUCCUACACACAUCUUAUCCUGACAGCUCCUUUCCCUCACUCAGGAUCUCCCUCCCUCACAGGCAGGUAAUCAGGAGCUGAACUUCUCCUUUAAGAGAGAGAAGAGCCACAUCCUGCAGCCUGUGGACAAGAGGAGCUGGGCUUCAGCUUGAUAUACUGUACUUGUUUCACAGAAAAGUCCCAGAGCUCCUGCACUUUUGAACACUGAUCUGUGCUCGAGCUGCAUGAUCACAACAACACAGCCUGAAGCCACAGCCCAGUUUCCCAGAAUCCUCCUGCUGCUCUGUAAGUGAAAGUGAAAAUAGUCCUUUACUGCGAUAAAGACGGUGUCAGAAGUAAAGUGAGCAGGUCGCUUUUCAAAUCUAAUCAGAAAAAGGCCUCAGACAAUCACUUCUUUCUGAACAAUAGAAAGUGGAGCUCAGACCGGUAUGAUCAGAGUAUCCAGCCUAGAUGGAGUCUGACCAGUCACAGUGGCUCUUUUUGACUCUACUGUUUCUCCAACAGUCCUGUGUCUCAGGAUCAG
rnacentral:lncRNA from 1 species